GCGAACGCUGGCGGCAGGCCUCACACAUGCCAGUCGAACGAACCUUUCGGGGUUAGUGGCGGACGGGUGAGUAACACGUGGGAACGUGCCUUUAGGUUCGGAAUAACUCAGGGAAACUUGUGCUAAUACCGAAUGUGCCCUUCGGGGGAAAGAUUAAUCGCCUUUAGAGCGGCCCGCGUCUGAUUAGCUAGUUGGUUGAGGUAAUGGCUCACCAAGGCGACGAUCAGUAGCUGGUCUGAGAGGAUGAUCAGCCACAUUGGGACUGAGACACGGCCCAAACUCCUACGGGAGGCAGCAGUGGGGAAUCGUGCGCAAUGGGCGAAAGCCUGACGCAGCCAGGCCGGGUGAAUGAUGAAGGUCUUAGGAUUGUAAAAUUCUUUCACCGGGGACGAUAAUGACGGUACCCUGAGAAGAAGCCACGGCUAACUUCGUG
rnacentral:rRNA from 1 species